AUCUUGGUGGUAGUAGCAAAUAUUCAAAUGAAAACUUUGAAGACUGAAGUGGGGAAAGGUUCCAUGUGAACAACACUUGGACAUGGGUUAGUCGAUCCUGAGAGAUGGGGAAGCCUUGUAUCGACGGUGCACUCUGCAUGAGCAUCAAAAGGGAAUUGGGUUAAUAUUCCUGAACUGGUACAUGGCAGCAGGUGGCAAUGUUAGCAAAUCUGGAGAUGUCGUCGGGGGCCCCGGGAAGAGUUAUCUUUUCUUUUUAACAUCUUUCCCACCCUGGAAUCGGCUCACCAAGAGAUAGGGUCCAGCAAUUGGAAGAGCACCACACAUCUUGUGGUGUCUGGUGCGCCCUUAGUGGCCCUUGAAAUUUUGGAGGACCAAGUUAUGUUCAUGCUCAGUCGUACUCAUAACCGCAUCAGGUCUCCAAGGUGAAUAACCUCUAGACAAUAGAACAAUGUAGGUAAGGGAAGUCAGAAAAAUGAAUCCAUCACUUCAGGAAAAGGAUUGGCUCUGAAGGUUAGGCCUAGGGGUUUGCUCCCUCAACUCGUGGGCUAUCGGUAGUCUGCCCGAGCUGCUCUCGCAGCGAGGGUAGGUAGCUGUGUGCCGAUUGGGCUACGAGCAUAGAAUGCCCCCUGACGGGUGCUUUUCCCUAAGCAUUGAACAAUCGACUUAGAACUUGUAUGGACAAGGGGAAUCUGACUGUUUAAUUGAAACAAAGAAUUGUGAUGGUCCUUGCGGAUGCUGAUGCAACGUGAUUUCUGCCCAGUGCUUUGAAUGUCAAAGUGAAGAAAUUCAACCAAGUGUGGGUAAACGAUGGGAGUAACUAUGACUCUCUUAAGGUAGCCAAAUUCGUCGUCGUCUAAUUAGUGAAAUGCAUGAAUGGAUUAACGAGAUUCCCACUGUCCCUAUCUAUUAUCUAGCGAAACCACAACCAAGAGAAUGGGCUUGAAAAAACCAGUGGAGAAAGAAGACCCUAUUGAGCUUCGCUCUAAUUCGAUUUUGUGAAAUGACUUGAGAGGUGUAGAAUAAGUGGGAGACGUUUUAAGUGCAAGUGAAAUACCAAUACUUUUAACAUUAUUUUACUUAUGUCAUGGGGCAGAGACGGGACACUGCCCCUAUUUUUGGCCUUAAGGCAUGUUUCGGCGGGUCGAUCCGGAUAGAAGACAUUGUUAGGUGGGGAGUUUGGCUGGGGCAGCACAUCUGUUAAAAGAUAACACAGGUGUCCUAAGAUGAGCUCAAUGAGAACAGAAAUAUUGUGUGGAACAAAAAGGGAAAAGCUCAUUUGAUUUUUAUUUUUAGUAUGAAUAAAAACCAUGAAAGCGUGGACUAUCGAUCCUUUAAAUUUUCAGAAUUUGAAGCUAGAGGUGUCAGAAAAGUUACCAUAGGGAUAACUGGCUUGUGGCAGCCAAGCAUUCAUAGAGACAUUGCUUUUUGAUCCUUCGAUGUCAGCUCUUCCUAUCAUUGUGAAGUAGAAUUCACCAAGUGUUGGAUUUUUCACCCACCAAUAGGGAGUGUGAGCUGGGUUUAGACCAUCGUGAGACAGGUUAGUUUUACCCUACUGAUGAACUGCACCGCAAUAUUAAUUCAACUUAGUACGAGAGGAACAGUUGAUUCACAUAAUUGGUCAUCACGCUUGGUUGAAAAGCCAGUGGUGCGAAGCUACCAUGUGUCAGAUUAUGACUAAACGCCUCUACGUCAAAAUCCAUGCUAGAAGUGAUGCAUGUCACUCUUCGACUGUAUCUCGACCCAUAGUAGGGGCAUCACUUUAUCACCCUGAGGGGCCCAUGUCAUUUGCAAACUGUGACCGUGAAGCAUCUCGGUCGGGGUAGCUUUGAAGUUCAAUUCCAAACGAUCAUUGAGAAGAAUCCUUUUCAUACGACUUAAAUACGUGAUGGGGUAUUGUAAGUGGCAGAGUGGCCUUGCUGCCACAAUCCAUCGAGAUUCAGCCCUUGGUCACCUCGAUUCAGAGCUUCGCUCUAA
rnacentral:rRNA from 1 species